rnacentral:lncRNA from 1 species
UGAAGUUAAAUUCUAUCAUCUUGGUCUCAUCAGUACCAGUCUCCAACUCAAAGAGCUAAUCAACAACAUCUGCCAAACUGCAAUCAAUCAAACAUGGCAAGAGAGUGAAGCUGUCAUAUCAGCUCCCCUCUUGGAGGCCACUCUGGGCCCAAAGGAUGGUAUAUUUGUGUAUCAGCAGGAGGAAGGAUGUUUGGAAGCCCAAAGGCGAUGAGAGGAAAGGAGGCAGUACAGGUUGGCAGAUCAGCAGGGAGGGCAGCCCCCUGGGGUUCAGGUGAGCAGCAGGGAGCAGUGGGAACCAGGGUGGACAUGUGUGCAUUUAUAUCAUAUAUUCAUGCACCUAACAAAUAUCUGAGGACUGACCACAGCUAGAGGACGCAGUGAUAAACAGAAGAGACAUAGCCCUUGCCCUGGGAGAACUGACCUUUUCACAAGAAUGGACUCAAAUGAUGGAAGGUUCUGUUUGUUUGAAUCUUUAAGAAAAUCAGGGGAAAGAUACCACUUGAGGGAAAACUCUCUCCAGAGGUCAGGCAACAUAAGACAAUAUGGGAGGAGGCUGGAAGGGCUGCAAUUUACACGCCCUCCAUGUCCCUUGCUGCUGGAGACUAGACGAGAAAAAGACCACGAGAAGGGGAGGAAAAGAAAAGAAAUGAGAGUAUAGACUAAACUCCCUGCACACUAACGUUCUGGCUCCUCACAAAAUACUUUUUCAAAUGAAAAUUGUCUUAAAAAAAAAUUGGGGAAGGACAUGUGAAAGAGAAAAGAACAAACAUGGCUAUGCUUUCAAAAACAGGGCCUCCAAACAUCGACAUUAAUAAGCAAAUGUAUUGGUAGGAAGAAAUUCCAAUCAAUAUUAAUCAGGCUCAGCUGGCCCACUUCUCCUCACAGGGCUUAAUAACACUUCCCAGCCCUGAUCUGAUUGGAGUCCAACACAUGCAUACUAAUGAGGCCACCAGUGCAGAAUUUACCACUAGGCUUCUAAGAGGGUUUGAUGGGCACCAUUUCUGUCCCGGAUGUCUGUCAACCAAUAUAUAUGGGCUUCAGCCAUUAAUUCAAUGGUUUGUUGGUAAUACCCAAUAGGUUCCAGCCUGUUAUCUAACAGUUAUGAGGGACAGUGUGUCAAAGGCUGGCUGCUUUGAAAUAGCACAAACUCCUCUCUGAAAAUAUAAGUCCAGAGAAUCUCUUCUUCUCACAAUUUCCUAACUGCCCCCAACUAUUCUAUGUCAUGCCCACUCUCCACAGACUCCCACUGAUGGGCAGCAACUCCCUUAACAGGACUAGGGCCCAAUUCCAGGACUUCCCAGUCUUGUUCACCUCACAAUUCUAGUCUUACGCACAACUUAAAAUUCUUCCUGUCCCCAGCACUGGCGAGAUCUGUUGCUUGUUCUCUCAGCUUGCAGAGAAGGGGUUCUGGAGGCUGACGCUUUCUCUUCCUGCUGAUCUGGGCUUCACCCUGGUGUCACAGCGAGGGGUCAGGGGCCUCAGCAGAAGAAUGUCCUCCCCUCCAUCUGGAAGGCUCCUGAAUCUAGGGAAGCUCUGUAGCCUCUCUGACCCCAACCCUUUCAAAGCCUCUAACGGCAGGGUACCAAGUGGGGAGCCAAGUUGACAGCUGAAGAAGAGCAAAUGGACACACCCUGAAAAUUCAGCUUGGGGUCCACUAUCACAGGACUUGGCUGUUCUUGCUGUGCGCCAGGAAGCCAGCCUUGGUCCCCUCUUCCUGGGCAGCAGUGGAGCCACUGGAUCCAAGACAUAGGUUCCAUCUCCCAUCUUCCUCUCCCCUUAAAGGCCCUUGGGUUGGAAUGACAUCAAGAAGAUGCUGACAUCUUAGGACAGAGAGAUGAAGUGGAACAGGCAAAGAUGGGGUAGAGUCACCUGAAUGGGGGAAUAAAGACAUUUAACUCUUCAACACAGGCACUGCACUAAAGGCUGGGGAUGUGAGAUGAAGGAGACCUGCUCCCUGACCUCACAGACCAGCAAAGAGAGAGACAGCUACAAGAACACAGAGGUCAGACUCAAAGGAGGGCAGGAAUCAUUCUGUGAGGGUAGAAAGCCAAGGAAGGUUUCUCAAGGAGAAUGAGGAGGUCCAUUAUUACAUAAUCACCAGGCAAACCAAGGGUAGCCCCAUUUGCUCUCCUGGCAGCUGAGCCCUCUCCAGGAAUUGCUUUUAGUCCAAGAGAGCUGCCUCACCCACUGACAUGGCCCCUUCCUGGAGGCAGCCCACAUCAAUAACUGGUCAAGAGGUAGAAGGUUAUAAACAUCCAGUUCCCUUGACUCAAGGCAGGACAACUGUGAAGGGUGUCUCAAUUCAAGAGCAACAUGGGGCCAACUAGGUGAUGCCUCUGCCACAACUGCCCAGCAGUCCAAUUUUCCCCUUGCUUAAUCUUGUUUGCCUAAUUCCUUCAAAGUUGUCCAUCCCACGAGCACUUGCCAGUGAACUACCUGUUCACAAAUUUCCAUCUCCAAGUCCAUUUCCCGUAUUUCCACCAUCUCAGCCAGGCACAAGGCACAGGCCAGAGGUUUUCAAGAACAGCAUCUCAGAAGGACACAAAUCGGACAUGUAAGUUACCUACAUUUUAAACAAGCAAAGCACUGAUUAUUUGUCAAAGAUGCAAGCUUUCUCCCAGAGCCCUCUGAAAGUUGUGUGAGUCCCUGAAGAAUCUACCUGGAAAAUUCCAUUGCCCCGAGGAGCUUUCUCAAAAUGUAUUCCUGCCACCUGCUUCCCUGCGUAUAAUCCUCGCUCUCCACAAGUCUGUUUAUCCAUAGACACAAAAUGUUAGAGCUGUCACCAGGAAUACAAAUGGGGAGAAAGCCACCCUCAAGCCAAUCAAUAAUGCUGGAGACGAAGCAACUGCAGCACUCUGCGGGUCAUAGAUUAUGAAGCACAAAGAAAGGAAACUCAACUCCUAGCAUUGUAUUGUAGCUGAUGGUCAGUAAGGAAAGCUCAUGUUCCAAUCUGAUUCUAUUUUAGCCACUUGGCAGAAAAUCAUCACUGAGGCACAAAUGAGAUGGCCUUGAAGGUGAAUAAAAAUCUUGGGUUCACUUUCCAAGACUUCAACAUCACAGAACUUUUCAGGAGCUCUGCCUCUCUGCAAGGCUUGCACGUCUAUUUACAAAGGCAAAAGCUUCUGUAAAGUACCUGGGUUACCAAAGCAGGCUGGGAGCUGAUAAUCCAAUUUGUUUUCCCUUCAAUAAAUCGUUCAUUAAUGUUGCUAAGAAAUUUACAGCUUAAAAUGGUUUUAUGACUAGAGAUUAAAAAAGAACCGUUCCAAUAAAUUUCAUAUAACUGAG